CUACGGGAUGCAGCAGUGGGGAAUAUUGCACAAUGGAGGAAACUCUGAUGCAGCAACGCCGCGUGGAGGAUGACACUUUUCGGAGCGUAAACUCCUUUUAUAUAGGAAGAAGAUGACGGUACUAUAUGAAUAAGCGCCGGCUAACUCCGUGCCAGCAGUCGCGGUAAUACGGAGGGCGCAAGCGUUACUCGGAAUCACUGGGCGUAAAGAGCGUGUAGGCGGAUUAAAAAGUCAGAAGUGAAAUCCUAUAUCUUAACUAUAGAACUGCUUCUGAAACUCUUAAUCUAGAAUAUGGGAGAGGUAGAUGGAAUUUCUGGUGUAGGGGUAAAAUCCGUAGAGAUCAGAAGGAAUACCGAUUGCGAAGGCGAUCUACUAGAACAUUAUUGACGCUGAGACGCGAAAGCGUGGGGAGCAAACAGGAUUAGAUACCCUCGUAGUC
rnacentral:rRNA from 1 species